rnacentral:rRNA from 1 species
GACAGAGGGGGCGAGCGUUGUCCGGAGUCACUGGGCGUAAAGCGCGCGCAGGCGGCAACCUUAGGGUCGUGUGAAAGCCCCCGGCUCAACCGGGGGAGGCCAUGGCAAACUGGGUCGCUCGAGCUGCGGAGAGGCCCCUCGAAUUGCCGGUGUAGCGGUGAAAUGCGUAGAGAUCGGCAGGAAGACCAAGGGGGAAGCCAAGGGGCUGGCCGCAGGCUGACGAUGAGGCGCGACAGCGUGGGGGGCAAACCGG